AUAUCAACGCAGGGGUGCUGGAACUAACGGCCGGCUGAGAGUGUAUCCCGUAAGAUACUGACCCUUUAACCUGAUCCGGAUAAUGCCGGCGUAGGGACGCCUACCUUUUCGCUUG
rnacentral:ncRNA from 2 species